UACGUAGGGGGCAAGCGUUGUCCGGAUUUAUUGGGCGUAAAGAGCGUGUAGGCGGCCAUGCAGGUCCGUUGUGAAAACUCGAGGCUCAACCUCGAGACGCCGAUGGAAACCGCAUGGCUAGAGUCCGGAAGAGGAGAGUGGAAGUCCUGGUGUAGCGGUGAAAUGCGCAGAUAUCAGGAAGAACACCCGUGGCUAAGGCGGCUCUCUAGUACGGUACUGACGCUGAGACGCGAAAGCGUGGGGAGCGAACAGG
rnacentral:rRNA from 1 species